AUUGAACGCUGACGGCAGGCCUAACACAUGCAAGUCGAACGGCAGCGGGGGAUAGCUUGCUAUCCUGCCGGCGAGUGGCGGACGGGUGAGUAAUGCAUGGGGAGCUGCCCAGUCGAGGGGGAUAACAACUGGAAACGGUUGCUAAUACCGCAUACGCCCUAAGGGGGAAAGGUGGGGAACUUCGGUCCUACCGCGAUUGGAUGCGCCCAUGUGGGAUUAGCUAGUUGGUGAGGUAACGGCUCACCAAGGCGACGAUCUCUAGCUGGUCUGAGAGGAUGACCAGCCACACUGGAACUGAGACACGGUCCAGACUCCUACGGGAGGCAGCAGUGGGGAAUAUUGCACAAUGGGGGAAACCCUGAUGCAGCCAUGCCGCGUGUGUGAAGAAGGCCUUCGGGUUGUAAAGCACUUUCAGUCAGGAGGAAGGUGGUAAGGCUAAUAUCCUUAUCAAUUGACGUUACUGACAGAAGAAGCACCGGCUAACUCCGUGCCAGCCGCCGCGGUAA
rnacentral:rRNA from 1 species